AACGAACGCUGGCGGCAGGCUUAACACAUGCAAGUCGAGCGAAGACUUCGGUCUUAGCGGCGGACGGGUGAGUAACGCGUGGGAACCUUCCCAGUGGUACGGAAUAGCUCAGGGAAACUUGAGGUAAUACCGUAUACGCCCUUCGGGGGAAAGAUUUAUCGCCAUUGGAUGGGCCCGCGUCGGAUUAGCUAGUUGGUGGGGUAACGGCCCACCAAGGCGACGAUCCGUAGCUGGUCUGAGAGGAUGAUCAGCCACACUGGGACUGAGACACGGCCCAGACUCCUACGGGAGGCAGCAGUAGGGAAUAUUGGACAAUGGGCGCAAGCCUGAUCCAGCCAUGCCGCGUGAGUGACGAAGGCCUUCGGGUUGUAAAGCUCUUUUGGCGGGGACGAUAAUGACGGUACCCGCAGAAUAAGCUCCGGCUAACUUCGUGCCAGCAGCCGCAGUA
rnacentral:rRNA from 1 species